rnacentral:rRNA from 1 species
UGGGGAAUAUUGCACAAUGGGCGCAAGCCUGAUGCAGCCAUGCCGCGUGUAUGAAGAAGGCCUUCGGGUUGUAAAGUACUUUCAGCGGGGAGGAAGGGAGUAAAGUUAAUACCUUUGCUCAUUGACGUUACCCGCAGAAGAAGCACCGGCUAACUCCGUGCCAGCAGCCGCGGUAAUACGGAGGGUGCAAGCGUUAAUCGGAAUUACUGGGCGUAAAGCGCACGCAGGCGGUUUGUUAAGUCAGAUGUGAAAUCCCCGGGCUCAACCUGGGAACUGCAUCUGAUACUGGCAAGCUUGAGUCUCGUAGAGAGGGGUAGAAUUCCAGGUGUAGCGAUGAAAUGCGUAGAGAUCUGGAGGAAUACCGGUGGCGAAGGCGGCCCCCUGGACGAAGACUGACGCUCAGGUGCGAAAGCGUGGGGAGCAAACAGG